rnacentral:lncRNA from 1 species
UUACCACUUGCUCCAAAUUUGCUCGCAUUCAGUAUGUAUUUUCGCAAAUCUAUGAAGUUCCAAUAAGACCUAUCAAAAUACAAUCUGUAUGUUUUUUUUUCAGGAUUAGAUAAUAUGAUUCUUCACCAAUGACCCAAUCCAAUUAUUGAGCCUGACUGGUUUCUUCUUCUAAUGGCAGUGAUGUGUUAGCAAUGGAAAACUGUGUCAUACUCACUUUAAGAAAAAAUAUAAUACUUCAAGCGGAAGGCUCCGUUUUACCCAUUUCUCUAUUGAGGUCUUGGGGUAUGGAAUUGAUAAGCAAACCACAUUGCUGCAAUUUCCAAUCAAUGUUCAAGAACCAAUGCAAGAUGAUCAAGUACCCAGAGCCCCUUUGAGGAACAUCACCAAUCAGUACCCACAGGGCGGCUACUAAUCUCAGAUCUCAGCCGUCAGCUUCAGGAAUUGAUAAGCAAGCAAACCGCAUCGCUGCAAUUUGCUAGCAAUAUUCAAGAACCGAUGCAAGAUGAUCAAAUACCCAGAGCCCCUUUGAGGAACAUCACUGAUGUCAGUUCUCAGCCGUCAACUUCAGGUCACGCGCCACGACACAUACCCCGAUUUUUCACGGAAGCUAGCAGUUUGGCCAAACAAAUAAAAAACCUUACUGAGACAAAAGAAAAAUAUUCUGUAAGAUUAAAAAAAAGCUUAUGUGUCUAUCCACAAACACAUCUUUUCAAAAGGCUAUUAGGAGUUUCAUCGUUGAACAUCUUCUCUUCACCACACCCACACACACUCUCUCUCUCUCUCUUUCUUGAUUCUUUGAACUAAUAAGAAAGGUCCAUUUUAUUCAUAAGAGUGCAAAGUAAUUUGAUUCAAAUUUUAAAUUGAAGUUCUAAACUGCUGGUAGAAUGUACCUUUUAGUAAUGAUUUUGAAUUGGAAAUGUUUAUUUAAUUGUUGAAAUGUUUUUUUACAGUUCGUUUAUUGCUCGUGUUGGUGUGGUGAAAAUUGUCGGUAGGAAACACUGCGCUUGAAAUAAUUAAGACGCAUUAGGAGAAGUAAUUCUCUAAACGCUUUCGACUAGUUCUUUCCUGGUUUUUGAAGCUAAGUAGUAUCACCACCAAUUACGUAACUAUAAAACAUAUUUUAAAAUAAAUUAUUAAAAACUAUUCCCCUG